rnacentral:rRNA from 1 species
GUUAAAACUCAAAUGAAUUGACGGGGGCCCGCACAAGCGGUGGAGCAUGUGGUUUAAUUCGAUGCAACGCGAAGAACCUUACCUGGUCUUGACAUCCACAGAACUUUCCAGAGAUGGAUUGGUGCCUUCGGGAACUGUGAGACAGGUGCUGCAUGGCUGUCGUCAGCUCGUGUUGUGAAAUGUUGGGUUAAGUCCCGCAACGAGCGCAACCCUUAUCCUUUGUUGCCAGCGGUUAGGCCGGGAACUCAAAGGAGACUGCCAGUGAUAAACUGGAGGAAGGUGGGGAUGACGUCAAGUCAUCAUGGCCCUUACGACCAGGGCUACACACGUGCUACAAUGGCAUAUACAAAGAGAAGCGACCUCGCGAGAGCAAGCGGACCUCAUAAAGUAUGUCGUAGUCCGGAUUGGAGUCUGCAACUCGACUCCAUGAAGUCGGAAUCGCUAGUAAUCGUAGAUCAGAAUGCUACGGUGAAUACGUUCCCGGGCCUUGUACACACCGCCCGUCACACCAUGGGAGUGGGUUGCAAAAGAAGUAGGUAGCUUAACCUUCGGGAGGGCGCUUACCACUUUGUGAUUCAUGACUGGGGUGAAGUCGUAACAAGUACCGAGG